rnacentral:lncRNA from 1 species
AUCCAACAGAUAUUUAUUGAACACUUAUUUGUGCCAGAGAUUGCAUUAACUGGGAGCUGGGAAAACAGAAUUGGGUAAGGCAAGAUCUCCACUUUUAAUUAACUUUCAGUCUCCUGGAAUAGAAAGAUGAGCUGAGGAACCGGAGAGCACAAAUCGCUCCUCUCUUUAAUGUACUUCAAGAGAAAGCUGCUGGGUCAGUGGCCAGGUGUGUGUGUGUGUGUAUUAACUAAGCAGUUUCUAGAAUUAAAAUCCAUAAUGUUAAUAGGCUUAUGCAUAAAAUAGAUUAAUCCACAACAUCUGCAUGAUCCACGAUCUUAGGAUCUGCAGAGACAGAAAAGCUGGACACACUACCCAGCAGCCUCGCCCCGGCUCCCGGCAGAGAAAACCCUCUCCCCGGCCUCCUGGCGCUGGCGCGAUCCCACCGCGGGGACCGCUGCACCCCCUUCUCGCGUCCUACGCCUGGCGGCCAAAAACAAAACUGCCCAGCCACUUCCACUUGGAGAAGCCCUCCUAGCCCAGAGGGGCAUCCUGAAGAUCAAGGGCGAGGCUGGAAAACAAACUUUGUUCUGUGUUAACUUAGUAGGAGCAAAGCGAUUCCAGGAAGGGAGGCUCAAACUGUGCGCAGCGUUUUUAUAAAAAUUGUUUCAAUGGAUACACGGGGGAGCGGGGCAGUCUGUGGCAGGGCUUGAGAGCAAGCAGGAGACUGGCAGGCCGGCGAGAGCAGGUGGCCCGCCGGCCGCAUUCCGGCCUCCUCCUCCCCGCUCGCCUGCGUUUGGACGACGGCUUCCGCGGCGGCCGAAGGGGAGCAUCCUUUACGCUGCCAACUCGCAUCAAUGGGACUUUCCUCGUGGGAACUGCCCCUCCCGGCGAACGUGCCCUCCGGGUCCGGCGUGGGCGGGUGGGCUGGCGCAGCGAACUUCGUGCAGACCUUGGGGUCGGCUCAGUGCUCCUUCCGCGCCCGGGCAGAAACAGCACCACCAGCCGCCGUCGCCGCCUAGGGGCGGGGGAGGUGCCGCGGGGGCGGGUGCGGCGCGCGGGGAGGGAAGGGGUUCUCGCGCGAUUGGG